rnacentral:rRNA from 1 species
GAUGAACGCUGGCGGCGUGCCUAAUACAUGCAAGUCGAACGAGGUGCUUGAGUAGCAAUACAAGAGUAUCCUAGUGGCGAACGGGUGAGUAACGCGUGGGUGACCUGCCCCGAAGUGUGGGAUAACAGUCCGAAAGGAUUGCUAAUACCUCAUGUGGUUAUCGGAUUUAGAAACUGAUAACUAAAGCAGCAAUGCGCUUUGGGAGGGACCUGCGUCCCAUCAGCUAGUUGGUGAGGUAAUGGCUCACCAAGGCUACGACGGGUAGGGGACCUGAGAGGGUGGCCCCCCANAAUGGAACUGAAACACGGUCCAUACACCUACGGGUGGCAGCAGUAGGGAAUAUUGGACAAUGGGCGCAAGCCUGAUCCAGCCAUCCCGCGUGCAGGAUGACAGCCCUACGGGUUGUAAACUGCUUUUGUUAGGGAAGAAACCCCUCGAUUUAUCGGGGGCUGACGGUACCUUUCGAAUAAGCACCGGCUAACUCCGUGCCAGCAGCCGCGGU